GGCAAGAUGGCCGAGCGGUUAAGGCGGAAGAUUCAAGGGACCACCUUGGACCUUACCUGAUUAUCAGGUAGUAUCCUUCUGGGGAAACCCGCGCGAGUUCGAAUCUCGCUCUUGUCA